UGGUAGAUGAGGCAUGGGACUUGCCAGAUUGGGACUGGUGUCAUUUCCCUGCUCACUGGGCAGGGCUUGCGAUACGGUUCAUAAUGGGCAGUGUGGUAACUGUGAUGGGCAUGUCUCAUCAGCUGAUGCAGAGUGAGGACGUGCACCCUUUGCAGGUCAGGACUAGGGUGGCUCCACUGGAGGAAAAGAGAGAACAAAUGCGGGUAGUGGGGUGAACAACCACAAUCCCAGGAGAAAUCAUCACUGAACAUCAAUGCAAUCGAGUGUGCGGGGAGGAAAGCAAGCUGAGGAUAUCUUAGGUCUGCAAGAAGCAGCAGGAGUCCUGGUGUGGAUACCUAAGAGGGAAUUUAAGGAUGAGAAGAACUUUACUCAUGAUCAAAUACAAGGCCCCCUAAUACUACCCACCUGUGGUCAUCAGAAAUUCCACACAGAGCCGGCUCUGUUAUCCAUUACAUGCAAGUGUGCAAGAAGUUGUAGAUGUGACACCAAAUACUAUACCUCAAAGAAUAGAACUUUGGUGUGAACUGGAGAUCUCUGACAAGGAUGGCAUUUCAGGAAGAAAAAAACAAAGGAGAUUUUCUUUAAGAACACAUAAACCAAAACUCAGGCAGAAAAUAAAUGUCUGGAUAACUCUGAUAA